CCAGACUCCUACGGGAGGCAGCAGUGGGGAAUAUUGCACAAUGGGGGAAACCCUGAUGCAGCAACGCCGCGUGAGUGAAGAAGUAUUUCGGUAUGUAAAGCUCUAUCAGCAGGGAAGAAGAAAGACGGUACCUGACUAAGAAGCCCCGGCUAACUACGUGCCAGCAGCCGCGGUAAUACGUAGGGGGCAAGCGUUAUCCGGAUUUACUGGGUGUAAAGGGUGCGUAGGCGGCUUGGCAAGUCAGUAGUGAAAUCCAUGGGCUUAACCCAUGAACUGCUAUUGAAACUGUCGAGCUUGAGUGAAGUAGAGGUAGGCGGAAUUCCCGGUGUAGCGGUGAAAUGCGUAGAGAUCGGGAGGAACACCAGUGGCGAAGGCGGUCUGCUGGACAGCAACUGACGGUGAGGCGCGAAAGCGUGGGGAGCAAACAGGAUUAGAUACCCGCGUA
rnacentral:rRNA from 1 species